GCCAGCACUCACAUUCAAGUAUUUGAUCUCCUUGUCCUCGGUGGCGAGUCCCCCUCUUCACCUGGCACUUGGGACAGACCUAGACUUGGUGUCUAGCACUUCUUGUUAUCUGGACAGAAGGAGCGAGACCCAGCUUGUUUUCUUUGAGCCGCGUGGACCUGUGUUAAUGGCGCUGAGGAGGAAUUACAUGAUGUUGCAGGUGAUAAAGCAGAAAUAAGGAAUCCAUACUCUUUUGAAGCCUACAUUUUAGAUGGAGAGAUGGACAAGCAAAAUAAAUGGAGUGGGGAAGGCGACUGUGGAGGCAACCUCCUUGAAGGUGGCAGUGAGUCUUAAAGAGUCGCUUCAAUGGAUGGAGGCCAAGGUGACUUCAGACGUGGGCAGGACAUCUCAUGAGGAGACCCUGCUUGGCUGGAAGGUUCUCCUAGCAUUGACUUGGUUGUACUAAGAAACGUGGGCAUCUGGUGUUGUUCUUCAGGGUCAUCGCAAGCCAAGUCCGCAGAUGAUUUGGAGCAUGUGGGGCUUGCUGUAAAGGCUGCCUGGGAGAG